rnacentral:rRNA from 1 species
CCUACGGGAGGCUGCAGUGGGGAAUAUUGGGCAAUGGGCGCAAGCCUGACCCAGCAACGCCGCGUGAAGGAAGAAGGCUUUCGGGUUGUAAACUUCUUUUAAGAGGGAAGAGCAGAAGACGGUACCUCUUGAAUAAGCCACGGCUAACUACGGGCCAACAGCCGCGGUAAUACGUAGGUGGCAAGCGUUGUCCGGAUUUACUGGGGGUAAAGGGCGUGCAGCCGGGAAGACAAGUCAGAUGUGAAAUCCCUCGGCUCAACCGCGGAACUGCAUUUGAAACUGUUUUUCUUGAGUACCGGAGAGGUCAGCGGAAUGCCUGGUGUAGCGGUGAAAUGCGUAGAUAUAAGGAAGAACACCAGUGGCGAAGGCGGAUGACUGGACGGCAACUGACGGUGAGGCGCGAAAGCGUGGGGAGCAAACAGGAUUAGAUACCCUGGUAGUC